rnacentral:tRNA from 1 species
GAGUACAUAGUUCAAUAGAGAAGAACGUGGUCAUUACACGGCCGAGGUUGCAGGUUCGAGUCCUGCUGUACUCCCA